rnacentral:rRNA from 1 species
GAUGAACGCUGGCGGCGUGCCUAACACAUGCAAGUCGAACGAAAAGACGAUGAGCUUGUUCCUUUGACGGUAGCGGCGGACGGGUGAGUAACGCGUGGAUCACCUUCUUCUAUUUCGGGGAUAAUCACGGAAAACCGGAUAUAAUACUAUAGCAUAUAUUGAACCGCUGGGUUCAUUAGAUAAUGACGGCUUUGGUGUCUCUAAUAGCUGCUUCCGCGCUGGAUUAGCUGGUUGGUAAGGUAACGGCUUACCAAGGCGACGAUGCGUAGCUGAGCUGAGAGGGUGAUCGGCCACACUGGAACUGAGACACGGUCCAGACUCCUACGGGAGGCAGCAGUAGGGAAUCUUCGGCAAUGGGCGAAAGCCUGACGCAGCAACACCGCGUGAGUGAUGAAGGUCUUCGGGUCGUAAAGCCCUGUUAUUGGGGAAGAAAAGCUGUAGAUGUAAACCUGGCCGUCUUGACGGUACCUAAUCAAAAAGCAACGGCUAACUACGUG